AGGAGAGUGCUGGGUCAAAGAUCCCUGGAUGGGGUGCUGCCAUGUGUUGUGCAAGAGAAGACAUAACAAUCUGAGUGGACUCACCGCCAUUGAAGCUGUGGUAGGAGGUUACAGGCUUUGUCGAAGAGGAACUUUCGGACGUAGUUCCAGGAAAAGAAGCUUCAGAUGGAUCGGCUAAAACAAUUCGGGGACUGGAGGAGGCCAUAGCCUUGAGAGAAACUCCAAAGUUGGCUAGUGGGAGUGGCAAUGAUGAGGAUGAGGAAUAUGAAAACCAGGGGUCAAUGGCAGUGAUGUAUUCAGUUCCACCCGAAGGCAAAGAUGUUGACAACAAAUUAGAUCAGAGACACCGUGGUUCUCCACCUCCAGCAGAUUUUCCAAUUUGGAUCGCAUUUCGGAGAGUCAUAUUUUGAAUUGGAAGACCAUGCACUUGAAUCCAAAAAGGGCAGAGAUGUAGCUCAACUUCCUCAAGAGCUAAGUCAAGUAUUGACCAGGGUUGAAGAAUGAGGAGUGAACCCCUGCGAAGGUCCUUGUUGAAGAACACGGUCCACAUGGCUUUGAAGUGGGACAACAAAGAGAAACUUGUUUGGAGUUAGUACUUCAAUGGCUAACGGAGAGGCAAAGCUCCAAGCUGAUGCCAUGGUAGCCUGGACCAACUGUGAAUGUAGAGGCUUGAGGGUGAGAGGUUUACCAAUGAGAGCAAAGCUUUCCUACUUCGGUGGAGCCUCGUCAAGAACAUCAAGUUGUUCUGGAAAAUCCCAGCCAAGAGCUUCAGUUUCAUCAAUUAGGGCUUAAAGAUAUAGAUGAGAAGUGCCCAUGGAGGAGAGUUGAGGAAAGGUGGUAAAUAUGAAAGACAGAGGGAAGGAGAACAGGAGAGAAGUAGUGGAGACACUAGUCUGGGAGGAUCAAACCAUGGACGAAUGACAGUGGGAGCUCAAGAGAACAUAGCGAGACAUUUGACUAAUAUAGCAAAGUUUUUGACUUGAUGUUAUUAAGUAUGAUUAUGGUGUCUUAAGUUAUUUUAUGGUUUA